rnacentral:rRNA from 1 species
CGGCGAGUGAAGCGGCAACAGCUCAAAUUUGAAAUCUGGCUCUCUUUGGGGGUCCGAGUUGUAAUUUGCAGAGGAUGCUUUGGCAUUGGCGGCGGUCUAAGUUCCUUGGAACAGGACAUCACAGAGGGUGAGAAUCCCGUACGUGGUCGCCUGCCUUUGCCGUGUAAAGCUCCUUCGACGAGUCGAGUUGUUUGGGAAUGCAGCUCUAAAUGGGAGGUAAAUUUCUUCUAAAGCUAAAUACUGGCCAGAGACCGAUAGCGCACAAGUAGAGUGAUCGAAAGAUGAAAAGUACUUUGGAAAGAGAGUCAAAAAGCACGUGAAAUUGUUGAAAGGGAAGCGCUUGCAGCCAGACUUGCCCGCAGUUGCUCACCUAGGCUUUCGCCUGGGGCACUCUUCUGCGGGCAGGCCAGCAUCAGUUUGGGCGGUUGGAUAAAGGCCUCUGUCACGUAUCAUCCUUCGGGAUGACCUUAUAGGGGAGGCGUAAUGCAACCAGCCCGGACUGAGGUCCGCGCAUCUGCUAGGAUGCUGGCGUAAUGGCUGUAAGCGGCCCGUCUUGAAACACGGACCAAGGAGUCUAACAUCUAUG